rnacentral:rRNA from 1 species
AUUGAACGCUGGCGGCAGGCUUAACACAUGCAAGUCGAGCGGGGUGAUGGUGCUUGCACUAUCACUUAGCGGCGGACGGGUGAGUAAUGCUUAGGAAUCUGCCUAUUAGUGGGGGACAACAUCUCGAAAGGGAUGCUAAUACCGCAUACGUCCUACGGGAGAAAGCAGGGGAUCACUUGUGACCUUGCGCUAAUAGAUGAGCCUAAGUCGGAUUAGCUAGUUGGUGGGGUAAAGGCCUACCAAGGCGACGAUCUGUAGCGGGUCUGAGAGGAGGAUCCGCCACACUGGGACUGAGACACGGCCCCGACUCCUACGGGAGGCAGACGUGGGGAAUAUUGGACAAUGGGGGGAACCCUGAUCCAGCCAUGCCGCGUGUGUGAAGAAGGCCUUAUGGUUGUAAAGCACUUUAAGCGAGGAGGAGGCUCUUUUGGCUAAUACCCAAGAUGAGUGGACGUUACUCGCAGAAUAAGCACCGGCUAACUCUGUGCCAGCAGCCGCGGUAA